rnacentral:rRNA from 1 species
CCUACGGGGGACAGCAGUGAGGAAUAUUGGUCAAUGGGCGUAAGCCUGAACCAGCCAAGUCGCGUGAGGGAUGAAGGUUCUAUGGAUCGUAAACCUCUUUUAUAAGGGAAUAAAGUGUGGGACGUGUCCUGUUUUGUAUGUACCUUAUGAAUAAGGAUCGGCUAACUCCGUGCCAGCAGCCGCGGUAAUACGGAGGAUCCGAGCGUUAUCCGGAUUUAUUGGGUUUAAAGGGUGCGUAGGCGGCCUGUUAAGUCAGCGGUGAAAGUCUGUGGCUCAACCAUAGAAUUGCCGUUGAAACUGGGAGGCUUGAGUAUAUUUGAGGCAGGCGGAAUGCGUGGUGUAGCGGUGAAAUGCUUAGAUAUCACGCAGAACCCCGAUUGCGAAGGCAGCCUGCCAAGCCAUGACUGACGCUGAUGCACGAAAGCGUGGGGAUCAAACAGGAUUAGAUACCCUAGUAGUC